rnacentral:rRNA from 1 species
UACGAAGGGGGCGAGCGUUGUUCGGAAUCACUGGGCGUAAAGCGCACGUAGGCGGCGCGUUAAGUCAGGGGUGAAAUCCUGGAGAUCAACUCCAGAACUGCCUAUGAUACUGGCAUGCUCGAGUGUGGGAGAGGUUGGUGGAACUCCGAGUGUAGAGGUGAAAUUCGUAGAUAUUCGGAAGAACAACAGUGGCGAAGGCGGCCAACUGGCCCAUUACUGACGCUGAGGUGCGAAAGCGUGGGGAGCAAACAGG